rnacentral:rRNA from 1 species
GAUGAACGCUGGCGGCGUGCUUAACACAUGCAAGUCGAACGGAAAGGCUCCUGCUUGCCGGGGUACUCGAGUGGCGAACGGGUGAGUAACACGUGGGUGAUCUGCCCUGCACUUCGGGAUAAGCCUGGGAAACUGGGUCUAAUACCGGAUAGGACGAUGGUUUGGAUGCCAUUGUGGAAAGUUUUUUCGGUGUGGGAUGAGCUCGCGGCCUAUCCGCUUUUUGGUGGGGUAAUGGCCUACCAAGGCGUUGGCGGGUAGCCGGCCUGGGAGGGUGUACGGCCACAUGAGGCCUGAGAUACGGCCCAGACGCCAACGGGAGGCAGCAGUGGGGAAUAUUGCACAAUGGGCGCAAGCCUGAUGCGGCGACGCCGCGUGGGGGAUGACGGCCUUCGGGUUGUAAACUCCUUUCGCUAGGGACGAAGCGCAAGUGACGGUACCUGGAGAAGAAGCACCGGCUAACUACGUG